rnacentral:rRNA from 1 species
GCGAGCAGACGCGAAUUUUUCACAAUGGGGGAAACCCUGAUGGAGCGACGCCGCGUGGAGGAUGAAGGCGUUUUCGUCGUAAACUCCUGUCAUGCGAGAACAAGAAAGUGAUAGUAUCGCAAGAGGAAGAGGCGGCUAACUCUGUGCCAGCAGCCGCGGUAAUACAGAGGCCUCAAGCGUUGUUCGGAUUCAUUGGGCGUAAAGGGUGCGUAGGUGGCAUGGUAAGUUGAAGGUGAAAUCUCGGAGCUCAACUCCGAAACUGCCUUCAAUACUGCUGUGCUCGAGGACUGUAGAGGAGAAUGGAAUUCACGGUGUAGCAGUGAAAUGCGUAGAUAUCGUGAGGAAGACCAGUGGCGAAGGCGAUUCUCUGGGCAGUUCCUGACACUGAGGCACGAAGGCUAGGGGAGCAAACGGGAUUAGAUACCCCUGUAGU